GGAUGUGAGGGCAAUCUGGCUGCAACAUUUGUCAUCCCGUUGACUGCCAGGAUUGAUUCAGCUGAUCUGGCUGGCUACACGAGUGUUCCCUUCCUCCCUCACCACUCCAUGUGAUGUGUGUCCCUGUGAAGCUGCGCACUGGGUCAAAGAGGAUGACCAUCCCCGAGAGUAGGACCCAUCUUCAUUAAAAGGUAUACCAGUAUUGGCGCUCCUCUGAUAGAACGUCCAAACAAAGAGCCAACUUCUCCUGCUAAAUGCCAUGCUGGUUGCAUUCCAGU
rnacentral:snRNA from 1 species